CCCUAGAAAGCUCCGAUGACA
rnacentral:tRNA from 1 species